GUUACGUCGCGACGUGGUGAAGUUUACACGAUCGUGGGACGAACAAUCCUUGCCGGUGCAAUGUCCUUGCACAGGCGUAAUCGAAGUUGAUUGACGUUCUCGCGAUUCACCUGUGAUUUAUUAUUACUGCAACAUCGUGCGAGAAGCUCAUCCGCAAUCACUGCCUCAAAUCGUACAUUUCCGGAUAACGAUUCACGUGGAAAUAAUUUGUUGGAAAUCUUCCCUCAUAAAUUGAAUUUCUACGUACACAAAACACCGUACGAUAAAUUUAUUGUCAAUAUAUUUAUCAUAUCACGGGACACAUUCAUCCACACAAUUCACGCAAUUUGUAACGGUGUCGCGAGCGAGCAUACUUAAAUUACGUGAUGAUGCAACUUACCUGUACUGAUCGGUAAAUAUCCUGAAAAUAAGAAUUCGUAUUUAUUCGACAACGAUCAACUAUGUUCGGCAUGCGGUUAGUAAUAUUUACUAAACUAGCAAAACACGGAAGGUAUUGUAAUCAGGCUCUCGCAAAUGUUACCGCAUCGUUACACAUGACAUGACGUGUGGAACGAAAUAUUCGCCAACAUGUAACAAUACGCAAUCGGAUUGACUAAAUGUGAUAUUUGAUUUUAAGUGCAAAAAUUCUGAACAGAAAGACCGGCGGUACAAGCAGUAAAAGAAUAUCAUUGCGUGACAAAUAAUCUGGUUCAAUUAACGUUUCUGCGGUUUAAAAAUAACACGCAAGAUUCAACACGGAUUAUGCUCACUUUAGUUAUCUAAAUCUACGCUCUAAUCAGCAAAUAUGGGUAUGUUGCAAAGUAUAUUAUAAGCAAUAUUGUCGUUGUUGCGUAAGCGCGAGAUUUGCGUGAUCUUAUGUUAAAGCUGUGUUCGCUGCGUGUGUGUGAGCUCGACGCAACUCUCUGAUAGAGUUUGCUCGGUCUCAUAGCUGAUCAGAUGAAAAUAUAAUAAAGAAUAUAAUCGAAUUUAUAAAAGCAGAAAUGAAAAGUUUGAGUCACGAUGAAUAGUCAUAGUGCUUACAAGCGUUGAUUACGAGUUUCAAUUAUUUCGUUUCUAUUGCUUGUUUAAUUGAUCAAGAACUCCUUGAUGUCUUCAAUUAGAAAAGAAAUUUAAUAUAAUGUUUUUUUCUGUAUAUUAAAUGCCAAUAUUUAAAGCCAAUUCUAUGAAAACAUAUGUAUUUUUAAUCAUUUUAUUUUCACAAUUGACCACCAUAUAAAUAAUAAUCGUACAAUAUAAUAAAUAAUAUAAUGUGAGUUUAGUGGUAGUAAUCACGCUUCCAACCACACGAGAGAUUGACAUUAAUUAAGUUUAGCGGCGGCUAAACGACAUCUGUGAAAAUGUGAUACAGCAUAUUCACAAUAGUGAUAAGGAUCCCAACAAGUGAAACGUAACAUGCACGUAGAAAUUAUUUACGAAAUAGACUGAUCGCCCAUAUGGCUACUAGCGAAGUAUUAGAACGUCGUUUUACAGCGAUUGACUACUAUGAUUACUAUGUCCGAGGGUGUUGAACUUGUUAGUCUAGAGUCUAAGUGUAAAACAAAACGAAACGAGUUAGAUAAUAGGAUCGAGUACAUACGCUCGCUCGACAGGAAGCUCUGUCUCUUUGAACCUGCAACCCAAGGAUCACAUACAUCAUAUCGUCACACCCCAACACCCACUAGCGACGAUAAAACACUUAAGUAGAUAAUAACGGGCAGGUGAUGCUUCCAAACUACAGUUGGUGUUAAUGUGCGGUAACGUCGAUACAACACCGAGUGGUAGAAAUUUAUAUACAAUAAAUAAAACUUUGGUAAACAAGUUGACAAAUAUGUUAAAUCUGUAGAAUUGAAAGAACAUGGAUAUACCUUCUCAGAUUACAUUUUAUUAAUGAAUAAAAUAGGAUUGUAGUUUUACUGUAGUUACGCAAUGUUAAACCUGUAAUGUAGAAACGUCACCUCGCCGUAAGCAAUCGAAUGUGUAUGCAAGUGAAUCAAUAAUACUCGUGAGAUGAGAAAAAUCAAUGAUAAGCACCACCGCCACCAAGAGACUACGAUGAUAUUCUUCAAGCUACACAAAACCAUGAGAACGAAUCAUGGGCUGUUCUAUCAAGUUGUCGAAUCCAAUACGAAGACACGACAGCAGUCGGAAUGGAUAUUUCAAGAUAUUUUAAUAAUUAUUCUUCUGCGCACAGAGUAAUUACAUCGAUCGUUAUCGCAGGCAACGAAGAGAUCGCUUCAGCUUUUUAAUGUUCUAAUUUAAUGCUCUGUUUGCUCCUCUAAUCACAAAAACAAAUCCAAAUUCGAAAUACGAAAGAAUUAUAUAUUUUAUAAUUACUUUAUAAUCAUGCAUAAUGCAUAAUAUAACGUUGUGCUUAAUAACGUUCGUAAGCUCAAACAAAAUCAAAAGAUGAGUCAUUUUAUCGGCGCGGGAUUAAAUUUGCGCGAAUAUGGCAAAAAUAAUGGCAAAAGGUUAUUGAUAGUAAUAGCCAAUACUUUGAUUAAAAUAUUAUAUGUUAUCUUAUUGUUAUUAAUAAAAAAAAUAGCUUUUAUCA